UGCAGAGGGUGCAAGCGUUGUUCGGAAUUAUUGGGCGUAAAGCGCGUGUAGGCGGCUUUGCAAGUCGGGUGUGAAAGCCCUCAGCUCAACUGAGGGAGUGCGCCCGAAACUGCAGAGCUUGAGUACCGGAGAGGAUGGUGGAAUUCCCCAGGUAGAGGUGAAAUUCGUAGAUAUGGGGAGGAACACCGGUGGCGAAGGCGACCAUCUGGACGGAUACUGACGCUGAGACGCGAAAGCGUGGGUAGCAAACAGG
rnacentral:rRNA from 1 species